AUGAGUGAACAGAGCAUGCUGGGAGAAACUACCUGUCUCUGUGUAUCUGUCUGUGUGUGGACCACCACUAGCCUGCUCAGGGGCUGCACAGUCUGUUCCCGCGCUCAGGACCUUUCAAAGCUGACCGGAAGUACACUGAGGACAUCCGUGCGCGUGAUCACACGGCAGGAGACCUGGCCUGGAAUCAGGCGCUUGGAAGACGGCUCCACUUCCUCCUCCUCACGCGAGUGUCCUGCUCGACUUCUCAGCUGUCCACCGCCCGCACGGAACCGAGGGGCGCAGACGUUUCUUUGCCGCUGUCUCGCACUUGCUGUGUGCCCGCACCGGGCUUCGUUAUCACAGCUAAUUAAGAUGAUGCUGGAAGGCUGCACUGUGCUUCAUGUUCGCUAUUUACUGAAUAUUAGGGGUUACUCUACUCUCCUUAGCAGCGGAGACAGAGAAGUAUCAGGAGCUUAAAAAUGCCCGGUGAGUGUAGGAGUCGCUCUAAUUUAUUUUAAAAUGCUCUCUUGUUUUGUAAAGGAGAGAAGGAUGGCUGGUCUAGGAAAAACAUCCUUAACAAUUACAUCCUAAUUGUUUCCACAUAACUCUGAUUGUACCCAUUGUACAGUUACAAGAAUAUUUCAUGUGACAUUUUCAAAAAUUAAGCUUUUUAUUUUAUAAUAGCUUUAGACUUACAAAAAGCUAUAAAGAUACUACAUAUCCCAUAACUUGAUUUCUCUUUUG
rnacentral:lncRNA from 1 species